rnacentral:rRNA from 1 species
GAUGAACGCUAGCUACAGGCUUAACACAUGCAAGUCGCGGGGCAGCAUGGGGGUUGCUUGCAAUCCCCGAUGGCGACCGGCGCACGGGUGAGUAACGCGUAUCCAACCUGCCCUUCACCACGGGAUAACCCGGCGAAAGUCGGACUAAUACCGUAUGUUGUCCAUUGACGGCAUCCGAUUUGGACGAAAGGUUUGGCGGUGAAGGAUGGGGAUGCGUCCGAUUAGCUGGACGGCGGGGUGACGGCCCACCGUGGCGACGAUCGGUAGGGGUUCUGAGAGGAAGGUCCCCCACACUGGAACUGAGACACGGUCCAGACUCCUACGGGAGGCAGCAGUGAGGAAUAUUGGUCAAUGGGCGUAAGCCUGAACCAGCCAAGUAGUGUGCAGGAUGACGGCCCUAUGGGUUGUAAACUGCUUUUAUGCGGGGAUAAAGUGGCCCACGUGUGGGUUUUUGCAGGUACCGCAUGAAUAAGGACCGGCUAAUUCCGUG